CAGAGCAAUAGUCCCUGAUUUGUUUUUCAGUAGGAAACUUGUGGAUACAGGUACGAGUUUAAAAUGGUGACAUCCAAUCCAUUUGUAACCCUUUCCAGAGCUGGGAAUAUUUCUGAUGAGAGCUGAAGCAUCUCUGCUUGUUUGGAGGAAAUGCUGCUACACAAUGCAGGACAAAACAGUUCAAGCCACUUUAAAGAGGAUAAAUGGACAGAGGCUUCAAGAACUCAGAGAACUGUGAAGAAGAAGAGAUUUAAAACAAACAAUCAAACAACCAAACACCAAAACAAAACAGAGAGGAUGCACAGGAUGAAGAGUAUUUGRCUCCACAGAGCAAAUGCUGCUCUGCACUGAGAACAUUGCUGUGGUCACUAAAAGCAAGCACAGCACUGACUCCCAGCAUCAUCAUCAUGCAGAGGGACACGGGGACAGCUGGCAGCUCUCCAGGGAGACCAAAACUUUCCUGAGGUUGGGACAAUUGGCCUGUUUGGGCUGAAGUGAAGACACUCUCCAGGCCAGACUCCAGGUGAGGAGCCCAGCCUAGUCUGGUGACAAGGGAAAGAUCAAACCUUCUGUCCCUGAAAAACAAAUAAUCAGUGCAAGACCCUCAGCUGGAGGAAAAGCACAUUUUUGCUCUCUACAAGUGCCUGAAAGGAGAUUAUGGGGAGGUGGGGGYCAGUCUCUUCUCUCAGGUAUCAUAUGACAAGAGGAAACAGCCUCMAGUUGUGCCCAGGUCAGGUUUAGGUUGGAUAUUAGGGAAAAUUCUUCAGCUGCAAGGGUUGUAAAGCACUGAACCAGGCUGUAAGGGCAGUGGUGGGGUCACCACCCUUGGAAGUGCUCAAAAAAUGYGUGGAUGUGACACUUGAGGACAUGGUGAAUAUGGUKGUGGUGCUGGGUUGACAGCUGACAGCAAGAAAGGUCAAAUCUAUUACAUCAGCCUGUAUUUUGGCUGAAAAAUAUAUUUGCUUUUAGCAUUGAAGAAAAGACUUCUCCUGGGGUUACUAUUUUUGUGGCAUUUACAAUUAAAGCAGACCCCCACUGUGUUGCUUUUCAGGAAUAUUUUUGGGAUUUGUUGGUGCUCCUGGGGUGUCCAAAGCUAAAAAUAAUAUUUGAGUUUUUGUUGUUCCUGCUUCCAAAAAUAAACCAACCCCAAAUCCCCAAACAGAAUCUCAUUAGAGCUUGUUUAAAGGUCGGUUUAAAGAGUCCUAACAAGGUGGAUUAUUGUGUUAAGGACCCCUGGCCUGGAGCUUGGCAGGGGUUUGGAGAGGUCCGAGUGCUCCUCCUCUGUGCCACUCCCUUCCCUGGUGCCCAGCAGAGCAGAAAGUGCUGGAGCAGCAGAGAGAGAAAAUAACAAAAACCUGAAAACCCUGAGUGCCCCACAGAGCCCAAAGUGCCCCUCUGGGACGCUGUCAGGAUUUGGGAGCAGGAUGAGCACACGGAGAGGGAGCUGGGGGCAGGGACAGAGGAG